rnacentral:RNase_P_RNA from 1 species
UGGAGAGGGCAAGCAGCCGCUGCUGGUGUUAAAACCGGUGGAGGAAAGUCCGGGCUCCAAAGGGCAGGGUGCUUCGUAACGCGAAGUGGGGGCGACCCCGAGGAAAGUGCCACAGAAAAUAUACCACCGGGCGUAAGCACGGUAAGGGUGAAAUGGCGAGGUAAGAGCUCACCGUGUUUCAGGUGACUGGAACAGCAUGGCAAACCCCACCCGGAGAAAGGCCAAAUAAGAAACAGCAAGGAUCGCCCGUCCUUAAGCUUUAUGCUUACUGUUUCGGGUAGGCCGCUAGAGCUCAAUGGCGACAUUGAGCCAAGAUAGAUGGCUGCAAUAUCAGGCGACUGGUAUUACAGAACCCGGCUUAUUGCCCUCUCCAUUUU